rnacentral:tRNA from 1 species
AAGAAGUUAGUUUAAAAAAAACCUAUGAUUUCGACUCAUAAAAUCUUAAAAUAAUAAAGACUUCUCA